UCGGACGAACGCUGGCGGCGUGCCUAAUACAUGCAAGUAGAACGCUGAAGAGAGGAGCUUGCUCUUCUUGGAUGAGUUGCGAACGGGUGAGUAACGCGUAGGUAACCUGCCUUGUAGCGGGGGAUAACUAUUGGAAACGAUAGCUAAUACCGCAUAACAAUGGAUGACACAUGUCAUUUAUUUGAAAGGGGCAAUUGCUCCACUACAAGAUGGACCUGCGUUGUAUUAGCUAGUAGGUGAGGUAAUGGCUCACCUAGGCGACGAUACAUAGCCGACCUGAGAGGGUGAUCGGCCACACUGGGACUGAGACACGGCCCAGACUCCUACGGGAGGCAGCAGUAGGGAAUCUUCGGCAAUGGGGGCAACCCUGACCGAGCAACGCCGCGUGAGUGAAGAAGGUUUUCGGAUCGUAAAGCUCUGUUGUAAGUCAAGAACGGGUGUGAGAGUGGAAAGUUCACACUGUGACGGUAGCUUACCAGAAAGGGACGGCUAACUACGUGCCAGCAGCCGCGGUAAUACGUAGGUCCCGAGCGUUGUCCGGAUUUAUUGGGCGUAAAGCGAGCGCAGGCGGUUUGAUAAGUCUGAAGUUAAAGGCUGUGGCUCAACCAUAGUUCGCUUUGGAAACUGUCAAACUUGAGUGCAGAAGGGGAGAGUGGAAUUCCAUGUGUAGCGGUGAAAUGCGUAGAUAUAUGGAGGAACACCGGUGGCGAAAGCGGCUCUCUGGUCUGUAACUGACGCUGAGGCUCGAAAGCGUGGGGAGCGAACAGGAUUAGAUACCCUGGUAGUCCACGCCGUAAACGAUGAGUGCUAGGUGUUGGAUCCUUUCCGGGAUUCAGUGCCGCAGCUAACGCAUUAAGCACUCCGCCUGGGGAGUACGACCGCAAGGUUGAAACUCAAAGGAAUUGACGGGGGCCCGCACAAGCGGUGGAGCAUGUGGUUUAAUUCGAAGCAACGCGAAGAACCUUACCAGGUCUUGACAUCCCGAUGCUAUUUCUAGAGAUAGAAAGUUACUUCGGUACAUCGGUGACAGGUGGUGCAUGGUUGUCGUCAGCUCGUGUCGUGAGAUGUUGGGUUAAGUCCCGCAACGAGCGCAACCCCUAUUGUUAGUUGCCAUCAUUCAGUUGGGCACUCUAGCGAGACUGCCGGUAAUAAACCGGAGGAAGGUGGGGAUGACGUCAAAUCAUCAUGCCCCUUAUGACCUGGGCUACACACGUGCUACAAUGGUUGGUACAACGAGUUGCGAGUCGGUGACGGCGAGCUAAUCUCUUAAAGCCAAUCUCAGUUCGGAUUGUAGGCUGCAACUCGCCUACAUGAAGUCGGAAUCGCUAGUAAUCGCGGAUCAGCACGCCGCGGUGAAUACGUUCCCGGGCCUUGUACACACCGCCCGUCACACCACGAGAGUUUGUAACACCCGAAGUCGGUGAGGUAACCUUUUGGAGCCAGCCGCCUAAGGUGGGACAGAUGAUUGGGGUGA
rnacentral:rRNA from 1 species